rnacentral:rRNA from 1 species
CCAAUAGCGUAUAUUAAAGUUGUUGCAGUUAAAAAGCUCGUAGUUGAAUUUCGGGAUCAGCAGGUUGGUCGUGCCUCUGGUAUGCACUGGUUUCGCUGAUUCCUCCUUUCUGAAGAACUGUAAUGUCAUUAAUUUGGUGUUGCAGGGAAACAGGACUGUUACUUUGAAAAAAUUAGAGUGUUUAAAGCAGGCUAAGGCUUGAAUACAUUAGCAUGGAAUAAUGAAAUAGGACGUUUGAUCCUAUUUUGUUGGUUUCUAGGAUUGACGUAAUGAUUAAUAGGGAUAGUUGGGGGCAUUAGUAUUCAAUUGUCAGAGGUGAAAUUCUUGGAUUUAUUGAAGACUAACUACUGCGAAAGCAUUUGCCAAGGAUGUUUUCAUUAAUCAAGAACGAAAGUUAGGGGAUCGAAGACGAUCAGAUACCGUCGUAGUCUUAACCAUAAACUAUGCCGACUAGGGAUCGGAUGAUGUUAAUUUUUUAAUGACUCAUUCGGCGCCUUACG